rnacentral:lncRNA from 1 species
UCUCCCCCUUUUUGAUGAUUACAAAAUAAAGAGUAUAAGCCUAUUGAUACUUGUCUUUAAAAUCGGUUUGUAAAAGGGUUUUAAAUUGCUGAAUUUCAGCUUUUCAUAUAUAAGAGUGAAAUCUCCCCCUAUAUCAUUCAAAUGUUGCCAAUUUGACUCUUUGAAUUGCUCCCCCUUUCAUUUAUAAUUCAUUAGCGAUGAAACUUCAAAAAUUUGAGAUAAAAUGUGAGUUUCAAGUUAUGUAUCGGGGUGUGAGAGGUGCGUGCCAAAU